rnacentral:sRNA from 1 species
AGCCAAGUUGUGAGGUUAUCUCUUCUCGCAAGAUAAAAGGCUAAAGAAGUUUUUGCUUAUCAAUACACACUCUACGGACAGUUUACGGUGUAAGCGACAACAAACCAGUUUCAUGAGCAUCGUCUUCCCCAUAUGAAGCUAGUUCUUCUUCAUCCUCACUUCUUUCGGCAAGCUAUAAAUAAGUCUAAAGAUGUUGUACUAAUCUGUGGAGCCAUGCCGGAUAUGACGAAGUUACACCAUCACCGCCUACUUGAUCUCUCCAUUCUAGAAAAUCUUUUUGUGAACAGAGGGAAUCAUAAGAACAGAGUGAAGUGUGUUUUCUCGUCCAUGUUUUGAUGUCUUAUAUGGGCGUUUCAAUGGACUUUGGUGAAGUGCAGAUAGUGAGAGUCUAAAAUGCUUUUUGUUUUGUCUAUUUUGCUCAACAUCUGGUGCCUCCAUUUGAAUCUUUAUUGGAAAGUGGCUUUGUUGGCUGGGAGACUUCUACAUUUUUUUGGCUGCUGUGGGAUACUUUUUCAUUUGUGGCUUCUAAAAAGAGAAGAGAAGAUGUGUUUAUCAAACACUUGGGGUUCUACGUUGGGGUCGCAACAUGUCUUAGGUGGAAGGAUAAUGUGUUGAAUUGUAACGAGAUCAACACUUGUGGACUUUUCGGAAAUCAUACUAUUCACGAGAACAGUCGCUUUUUGGUUGUAAUGAGUUCUUUCGACGCCGUACCUUUUGUCGGUGACUUGUCAAAGGUCCACAUUUUGCACCACCACCAGGAUCUUGUCAACAUCAAGUCAGCAUUGAGUGGAGCUUCUAAAUGGGUAAACAGAACUGUUCGUAACCCACAAUCGGAUUUCUGUUACAUGUCCACAAUAUUUAUGUGUUGGAGUGACGUUGCUUACACAACAAGCAAGCUCUUGACAUGUGAACAUGAAUGCAGUCAAUGUUGUGUUCAUGUGAAAGUUACUUGAUUUCAGCUUGGAUAUGCAGGCAACAAUUAAAUGGAGAGGAAAGAUCUGCGAGGUGAUGAGUUUAUCCAAAAAGACAGAGGAUAUCUUGGUCACAUGUGUUCAAGGAAUCUUGGAAUUCAUUUAACAAAGUUUUUAUAUGGAGGAAGCUUUAGCAAGUCGCUCUUGAGGCUGAAAAGGAAACGCCAUAAAGUUCUUAAGAGAAAGUAUUAUGAAUUGGUGGACAAAGGAUGUCUUCAAAGAUUUCAGAUUUGGGUCGAAUCUUUCUAACCCAGAAGGGCUGAUGCAGCGUAUCUCAAAGACGAACGUGUUGUUCGUCCCGUUUGGGCUGGCUCGUUGUUUGGGUUUUGUUUCUCA